GUUGCGGACAGUGUCUGGUGGGUAGUUUGACUGGGGCGGUCUCCUCCUAAAGAGUAACGGAGGAGCACGAAGGUUGGCUAAUCCUGGUCGGACAUCAGGAGGUUAGUGCAAUGGCAUAAGCCAGCUUGACUGCGAGCGUGACGGCGCGAGCAGGUGCGAAAGCAGGUCAUAGUGAUCCGGUGGUUCUGAAUGGAAGGGCCAUCGCUCAACGGAUAAAAGGUACUCCGGGGAUAACAGGCUGAUACCGCCCAAGAGUUCAUAUCGACGGCGGUGUUUGGCACCUCGAUGUCGGCUCAUCACAUCCUGGGGCUGAAGUAGGUCCCAAGGGUAUGGCUGUUCGCCAUUUAAAGUGGUACGCGAGCUGGGUUUAGAACGUCGUGAGACAGUUCGGUCCCUAUCUGCCGUGGGCGCUGGAGAACUGAGGGGGGCUGCUCCUAGUACGAGAGGACCGGAGUGGACGCAUCACUGGUGUUCGGGUUGUCAUGCCAAUGGCACUGCCCGGUAGCUAAAUGCGGAAGAGAUAAGUGCUGAAAGCAUCUAAGCACGAAACUUGCCCCGAGAUGAGUUCUCCCUGAGACUUAGAGUCUCCUGAAGGAACGUUGAAGACGACGACGUUGAUAGGCCGGGUGUGUAAGCGCAGCGAUGCGUUGAGCUAACCGGUACUAAUGAACCGUGAGGCUUAACCUUACAACGCCGAA
rnacentral:rRNA from 1 species